AACGAACGCUGGCGGCAUGCCUAACACAUGCAAGUCGAACGAAGGCUUCGGCCUUAGUGGCGCACGGGUGCGUAACGCGUGGGAAUCUGCCCUUUGGUUCGGAAUAACAGCUGGAAACGGCUGCUAAUACCGGAUGAUGACGAAAGUCCAAAGAUUUAUCGCCAGAGGAUGAGCCCGCGUUGGAUUAGGUAGUUGGUGGGGUAAAGGCCUACCAAGCCGACGAUCCAUAGCUGGUCUGAGAGGAUGAUCAGCCACACUGGGACUGAGACACGGCCCAGACUCCUACGGGAGGCAGCAGUGGGGAAUAUUGGACAAUGGGGGCAAGCCUGAUCCAGCAAUGCCGCGUGAGUGAUGAAGGCCCUAGGGUUGUAAAGCUCUUUUACCCGGGAAGAUAAUGACUGUACCGGGAGAAUAAGCCCCGGCUAACUCCGUG
rnacentral:rRNA from 1 species